rnacentral:rRNA from 1 species
UACGAAGGUGGCAAGCGUUGUUCGGAUUUACUGGGCGUACAGGGCGCGUAGGCGGUUGGAUAAGCCCUCCGUGAAAUCUCCAGGCUUAACCUGGAAAGUGCAGAGGGGACUGUUCAGCUAGAGGAUGGGAGAGGAGCGCGGAAUUCCCGGUGUAGCGGUGAAAUGCGUAGAGACCGGGAGGAAGGCCGGUGGCGAAGGCGGCGCUCUGGAACAUUUCUGACGCUGAGGCUCGAAAGCGUGGGGAGCAAACAGG